CCUACGGGAGGCAGCAGUGGGGAAUUUUGGACAAUGGGCGCAAGCCUGAUCCAGCAAUGCCGCGUGAGUGAAGAAGGCCUUCGGGUUGUAAAGCUCUUUUGUCAGGGAAGAAACGGUGGGGGCUAAUAUCCCUCGCUAAUGACGGUACCUGAAGAAUAAGCACCGGCUAACUACGUGCCAGCAGCCGCGGUAAUACGUAGGGUGCAAGCGUUAAUCGGAAUUACUGGGCGUAAAGCGUGCGCAGGCGGUUUUGUAAGUCUGUCGUGAAAGCCCCGGGCUCAACCUGGGAAUUGCGAUGGAGACUGCAAGGCUUGAAUCUGGCAGAGGGGGGUAGAAUUCCACGUGUAGCAGUGAAAUGCGUAGAGAUGUGGAGGAACACCGAUGGCGAAGGCAGCCCCCUGGGUCAAGAUUGACGCUCAUGCACGAAAGCGUGGGGAGCAAACAGGAUUAGAUACCCUGGUAGUCCACGCCCUAAACGAUGUCUACUAGUUGUCGGGUUUUAAUUAACUUGGUAACGCAGCUAACGCGUGAAGUGACCGCCUGGGGGAGGUACGGUCGCGAGAUAACUACAANAGAGUAGAGCGNGAGAGUGACGACGGACGACGACGAGGGAGGAGG
rnacentral:rRNA from 1 species